CAGCCUGCAAGCUGGCCCCGCCCCCUGGAAGGAGCUGCCACUUAGAAGCUCCUGGUCAGCUGUGUCCGGCAGCUGCUGCUGACCCAGCUGUGGACUAGGGGAAAGGGGAAAGAGGAAAGGGAAGGAGAGGUGGGGGGGACGAAACAGGGGCGCUGGAGCCCUGAGCUUCCUGAAGCUAGGGCUGCAUCAUGGACAAACUCAGGGUGCCCCUCUGGCCUCGGGUAGGCCCCCUCUGUCUCCUACUUGCUGGGGCAGCCUGGGCACCUUCACCCAGCCUCCCGGACCCCAAGUUUGAGAGCAAAGCGGCCCUGCUGGCAUCCCGGGGCUCCGAAGAACUUCUGUGCUUCACCCAACGCUUGGAAGACUUGGUGUGUUUCUGGGAGGAAGCGGCGAGCUCCGGGAUGGACUUCAACUACAGCUUCUCAUACCAGCUCGAGGGUGAGUCACGAAAGUCAUGUAGCCUGCACCAGGCUCCCACCGUCCGCGGCUCCGUGCGUUUCUGGUGUUCACUGCCAACAGCGGACACAUCGAGUUUUGUGCCGCUGGAGCUGCAGGUGACGGAGGCGUCCGGUUCUCCUCGCUAUCACCGCAUCAUCCAUAUCAAUGAAGUAGUGCUCCUGGACGCCCCCGCGGGGCUGCUGGCGCGCCGGGCAGAAGAGGGCAGCCACGUGGUGCUGCGCUGGCUGCCACCUCCUGGAGCACCUAUGACCACCCACAUCCGAUAUGAAGUGGACGUGUCGGCAGGCAACCGGGCAGGAGGGACACAAAGGGUGGAGGUCCUGGAAGGCCGCACUGAGUGUGUUCUGAGCAACCUGCGGGGCGGGACGCGCUACACCUUCGCUGUUCGAGCGCGCAUGGCCGAGCCGAGCUUCAGCGGAUUCUGGAGUGCCUGGUCUGAGCCCGCGUCACUACUGACCGCUAGCGGUGAGGCCCUAGUUCCUCGGGGUGCAGGAGGAGCUGGGCCAAACACCAGGCAAACUCCCUGACCUUCUUGCCUCCCAGACCUGGACCCUCUCAUCUUGACGCUGUCUCUCAUUCUGGUCCUCAUCUCGCUGUUGCUGACGGUUCUGGCCCUGCUGUCCCACCGCCGGUGAGCCCCUCACCUGAGGUCUGACUUAGAUCGUCCCCUGGGAUCGCCCUUUCUAGAGAAAGCGAAGUUCAGAUGGGGACUCUGCAGCAGAAGAUCUGGCCUGGCAUCCCAAGCCCAGAGAGCGAGUUUGAGGGUCUCUUCACCACCCACAAGGGUAACUUCCAGCUGUGGCUGCUGCAGCGUGAUGGUUGUCUGUGGUGGAGCCCGGGCAGCUCCUUCCCUGAGGAUCCACCUGCCCACCUAGAGGUCCUCUCAGAGCCACGCUGGGCAGUGACUCAGGCUGGGGACCCAGGGGCAGAUGAUGAGGGGCCCUUACUGGAGCCGGUGGGCAGUGAGCAUGCCCAGGACACCUACUUGGUAUUGGAUAAGUGGUUGCUGCCCCGGACCCCAUGCAGUGAGAACCUCUCAGGGCCUGGGGGCAGUGUGGACCCUGUGACUAUGGAUGAAGCUUCAGAAACAUCUUCCUGCCCGUCUGACUUGGCCUCAAAGCCCAGGCCAGAGGGCACCUCACCUUCCAGCUUUGAGUACACCAUCCUGGACCCCAGCUCUCAGCUCCUGUGCCCUCGGGCACUGCCUCCCGAGCUACCUCCCACUCCACCUCACUUGAAGUACCUAUACCUUGUGGUGUCCGAUUCUGGCAUCUCAACAGAUUACAGUUCGGGGGGCUCUCAGGGAGUCCACGGGGACUCAUCUGAUGGCCCCUACUCCCACCCCUAUGAGAACAGCCUUGUCCCAGACUCAGAGCCUCUGCAUCCCGGCUAUGUGGCCUGCUCCUAGGACUCCAGCCUACAACGUCUUGAACGGGAUUGGUGAAGCCAUACUUAAAGUCAGAGCUGACCUUGGCCCUCUGAGCAGGAAGAGACAGCCUUGCAAUGUUAAGAUUAAGAGUUAUCUGUCUGUAUAUAGAAAUAUAUAUAUAUAUCGAUUUUUCUACCUUGA